GAGGUCGUGUAUCCGGGAUCCUCCGGUAAGACCCCCCAAACCAACACGAGAGGAGGACGGAGAAUAAUUUACCGACCGAUUUGUGUGUGGUUUUAAUGUCAGUGCCGUCUCUGUCCGGUCUGCACGGAGUCUGAGACUCUGUGACAUCAGAUCAUUCAAUCUAAAGGAGCAGCGAGUCUUCAACCUGCUGCUUGAAUCUGGAUCCAGACACUUCUUCUUCUCUCUGAUGGGAUGGAGGUGGAAGCGUCCUGAAAGUAACUGAUCAAAAUCAACAGCACCAUGUUGGCAUAGGACGGUGCCAUCUUUUUGAUUUGACAGGAUACUAAUGCAGUUAAGCUCGAGGCCACGUCUGUCUGGCUCGGUGGAAACUCCAGACAGAUUGCUGUACUAAAGAGGAGACUAAGAGGAGGAAGCCGGGCACUUUGGGAUCUGAUCCAAUGACCUGCAGUAGAAGUGAAGCAGAGCAGAGGCUUGAUUAAAAUGGGGCUGCAGCUCUUCGUACCUGUUGACAGUGUGUCUGAGGGCCGCUCGCUCAGCCCGCAGCCAUGCCAGACGUAAAGCCUCCACCACCAUGUGACUACCCCUCCACCUCCUCCACUGCAGCCUCCGCCGGCUCUCC